UUUUCCCCCAAUAAAAUCAUCAGAUUUGUACUACUUUGUGAAGAGAUCUAUGAUUUGAGUCUGAUUGGCUGUUCAUGCAUUAACUUUGUUCCACUUAAAGAUGUACAGCAUGGUCUUAGAGUUCCGAAUAAAUAAGAAAAGAGCAUUUCGCUUUCUCCGCUUGUACUGACACGUAAGAGUGAACACAUUUUCCACCAGAGAUAAUGGGACUUGUGGUAGGUUAGCACGAGGAUGGAGGCUGUUCCAGUGUAGGUCUUAAUUCUGAUCCUCUUCUCGAAUUUGCUCACUGACAGUUUAUAUGAACUUUUAGAUUUCAUUCAUUCUGUCAUCUAGUGGAUAUUUAUUGCACUCCUGUUAUGAACCAGGAACCCAGGGGUGUUCCCUGUCCUCAAGAUGCCUGCCAUCGUACGGAGGAUUAUGACUGAAGCAAACCAGUGGUUUCAAUGCAGUGUGAUUUGUGCUAUUGUAAAGGGAUCCUAGAGUACUACGGGAGCCAGCAGGGAGAGCAUUUACUCAGACUUGGGGAAGGGAUGGGGUGCCUGGAAGAGCUUCCUGUGGAAUUGGCUUUAGGCUGAAAGAAGUAAAGGGGGUGGAGGGAGGAGGCAGAAAUUGCCAGGAAGAUGAAAACACACGCAAAGUUCCUGGGGCAAGAGCAAGCUCCGUAGUUUGGAGGAACAGCAAACAUGUCCACGCAUGGUUGGAAUAUAACAUUCCCAGGGUAAAGCAUGGGAAGAGGUGAGGCUGGAGGGCUGUGAUUAGGAAAGGCCUUGUGAUUUGUCCUUAUCCUGAGGCAGGGAGCCACUUAAGGGUUUCAGUAGACGAGUGACACAAUCACCCCUCGGUUUUAGAAAGAGCACAGUGGCUGCAGCACAGAGCGUGAAUUGAGGGGAGCAAGACUGGCCACGGCGAGAAGGCAACACGCAGGCAAGAGAUGGUGGCGGGCUGCACCACGGAAUAGAGGAGCAGGACGGGGAGAGACGUUUCAGAGCUGGAAUGGACAGUGCCUUGUGGCUGUGAGAAGGAGACGAUGGAAAGAGAGGAGGCAGGAAGACGCCAGGGUCUAGUUUGGGUUUUAGGAAGCUGGGGGUGUUGGAGGAGAAGCAGGAUUAUUAGGAGAGAUGACGAAGUUCAUCGUGGACAUGCUGGAUUUGAGGUGUUGAGAUGUUCAAGAGAACAGUGAUGUCCAGUCCAGCUUGGGGGUCUGUGGGUGUGGAUAUUAGAGAUGAUAAGUCAACGGGGCAGACGAGCAAUCCAGUAAAUGCAGGAAAUUAUGCUCCCACUUCAACAGGUGAUCUUACAGCUGGAAAAUCAGUGGGUGAAAACGGAGAUACAGCAACUCUGUAAGUAUUUGCACGACUGGGUCAGAGCCCUCAUAGGCGGGCAUCUCAGGGUGUGAAGAAAUAUACAUUUCUCAGCUUCCUGGAGCCCAAACUACAGCAGCAGAGAAUACAGACAGAAGCCUAGCAGAUUUCACCUCCACUUAAAACCACAAACUAAGACAACAUGGGGUGGGCCACAUAAAAGGUUCACUCACUCAUUCUUAGGCUUUGCAUCUAUAAAGGUAAUCUCCAACAUAAAACCAUUUCCUCGUAUUGCAAAGUUAUAGCAGUUUAAUAAAAACUUCCUCCCUGCCCCAAGGCAAACGCCCAGGAAAAAAUUUCCACAUUUUCUCUUUCCUUAACUCAUUUAUAUGUUUUGUUCUUACAUUUAUUAGAAUUUUCCAUGAAGUUCAUUUUUACUUUACUUCUGGAAUAAAAACCAUCUGGCUUUAGAAGGAAGAGACCAUACAGAAGGAUGUGGGCUUGACACAGUGACGGGCUCUUGGCAGUCUGAAGAAGCAUGAACCAGAACUAAGCCUGGUCUCUCAGGAUUUGGUGGAUGUCUAAGUUGCAGGGUUAAGAAGUUGCAGUUCCUUCUUUCAACUCAACCUCUAGCAGUUGGAUACAGAAGCAAUUGUCGAACCUGGGCACCUAAGGGGACAGGACUGUCAGUGUCCUGGAAAUCAUGUUCUUCUCUUUGGUUUUCACCACCUCUUAAUGGCAUAUCUUCUAUAUUUCCUUUAAUGCGAACACAGGUAACGAGUUGGUUAUAACCCUUUUCUCAGGGCCAGGCUGCCAUGCCAUCGCUCCUCCAGAGAGCAAACACGAAACAUGAUCCUAUGGCAAGAACAUACAAUGCCAGGUCCCUGGAUUUAGGUCCUGCUCUGUCAUUGACUGUAUAUUCCCAUAAAGAAGAUUAAAACUC
rnacentral:lncRNA from 1 species